rnacentral:lncRNA from 1 species
CCGCCGCCCGGCGCAGGGGCCGGGAGCAAGUGCACGCCGCGCGGAGGACGAAGAGGCUGCACGCACAGCCGCUGCCGGGGGUCGGGGCCAAGUGCGCGCCUCGCCGAGGACGAAGAGGCUGGCGUGCCCGGUGGCUCGGCUAGCUCCCGGGUCCCGGCCCCGCCUGGAGGGCAUUUUUAUUUUUAUUUUUUUGAGAUGGAGUUCCUCUCUUGUGGCCCAGGCUGGAGUGCAAUAGCACCAUCUCGGCUCACUGCAACCUCUGCCUCCCAGGUUCAAGUGAUUCUCCUGCCUUAGCCUCCUGAGUAGCUAGGAUUACAGAUUUAUAGGAGCAUUGUGACUGGACCAAGGACAAAGAAGUUCCCAACCUCCUCAGACCCUCGCUGCUGCCCAGAUGUCUGCCAUGGGGUGGCCAUCAUCGAAUCCACUGAGGGCGCAAAUAGAACAAAAAGGUGAAGAAAAGGUGAAUUCUCUCCUUUCUUGAGCUGGGACAUCCAACUUCUCAGACAUCAGAGCUCCUGGAGGCCUUCAGACUCCGAGACAUUACACCAUUGGCUCACCUGGUCCUCAGGUCUUUGGACUUGGAAUGAAUUACACCAUUGGCUUUCCAGGUCUUCCAGCUUGCAGAUGGCAGAUUGUGGGACUUUUCAGCCUCCAUAACUUUGUCAUCCAAUUCCCAUAAUAAAUCGC